rnacentral:rRNA from 1 species
CCUAGCGGCGGACGGGUGAGUAAUGCUUAGGAAUCUGCCUAUUAGUGGGGGACAACAUUCCGAAAGGAAUGCUAAUACCGCAUACGCCCUACGGGGGAAAGCAGGGGAUCUUCGGACCUUGCGCUAAUAGAUGAGCCUAAGUCAGAUUAGCUAGUUGGUGGGGUAAAGGCCUACCAAGGCGACGAUCUGUAGCGGGUCUGAGAGGAUGAUCCGCCACACUGGGACUGAGACACGGCCCAGACUCCUACGGGAGGCAGCAGUGGGGAAUAUUGGACAAUGGGCGAAAGCCUGAUCCAGCCAUGCCGCGUGUGUGAAGAAGGCCUUUUGGUUGUAAAGCACUUUAAGCGAGGAGGAGGCUACUUAGAUUAAUACUCUAGGAUAGUGGACGUUACUCGCAGAAUAAGCACCGGCUAACUCUGUGCCAGCAGCCGCGGUAAUACAGAGGGUGCGAGCGUUAAUCGGAUUUACUGGGCGUAAAGCGUGCGUAGGCGGCUUUUUAAGUCGGAUGUGAAAUCCCUGAGCUUAACUUAGGAAUUGCAUUCGAUACUGGGAAGCUAGAGUAUGGGAGAGGAUGGUAGAAUUCCAGGUGUAGCGGUGAAAUGCGUAGAGAUCUGGAGGAAUACCGAUGGCGAAGGCAGCCAUCUGGCCUAAUACUGACGCUGAGGUACGAAAGCAUGGGGAGCAAACAGGAUUAGAUACCCUGGUAGUCCAUGCCGUAAACGAUGUCUACUAGCCGUUGGGGCCUUUGAGGCUUUAGUGGCGCAGCUAACGCGAUAAGUAGACCGCCUGGGGAGUACGGUCGCAAGACUAAAACUCAAAUGAAUUGACGGGGGCCCGCACAAGCGGUGGAGCAUGUGGUUUAAUUCGAUGCAACGCGAAGAACCUUACCUGGUCUUGACUAGUAAGAACUUUCCAGAAUGGAUUGGUGCCUUCGGGAACUUACAUACAGGUGCUG